rnacentral:rRNA from 1 species
UGGGGAAUAUUGCACAAUAGGCGCAAGCCUGAUGCAGCCAUGCCGCGUGUAUGAAGAAGGCCUUCGGGUUGUAAAGUACUUUCAGUCGGGAGGAAGGUGUCAAGGUUAAUAACCUUGGCAAUUGACGUUACCGACAGAAGAAGCACCGGCUAACUCCGUGCCAGCAGCCGCGGUAAUACGGAGGGUGCAAGCGUUAAUCGGAAUUACUGGGCGUAAAGCGCACGCAGGCGGUUUGUUAAGUCAGAUGUGAAAUCCCCGGGCUCAACCUGGGAACGGCAUCGGAAACUGCAAGCUUGAGUCUCGUAGAGGGGGGUAGAAUUCCAGGUGUAGCGGUGAAAUGCGUAGAGAUCUGGAGGAAUACCGGUGGCGAAGGCGGCCCCCUGGACGAAGACUGACGCUCAGGUGCGAAAGCGUGGGGAGCAAACAGG